GCUAAAUAAGCCAGGCUAGCUUUGGCUGGUCGCCGGCUUCUUAGAGGGACUAUCGGCUCAAGCCGAUGGAAGUUUGAGGCAAUAACAAGGUCUGUGAUGCCUUUAGAUGUUCUGGGCCGCACGCGCGCUACACUGACAGAGCCAACGAGUUUCUUCCUUGACCGAAAGGUCUGGGUAAUCUUGUUAAACUCUGUCGUGCUGGGGAUAGAGCAUUGCAAUG
rnacentral:rRNA from 1 species